AGCGAACGCUGGCGGCAGGCCUAACACAUGCAAGUCGAACGAACCUUUCGGGGUUAGUGGCGGACGGGUGAGUAACACGUGGGAACGUGCCUUUAGGUUCGGAAUAACUCAGGGAAACUUGUGCUAAUACCGAAUGUGCCCUUCGGGGGAAAGAUUAAUCGCCUUUAGAGCGGCCCGCGUCUGAUUAGCUAGUUGGUUGAGGUAAUGGCUCACCAAGGCGACGAUCAGUAGCUGGUCUGAGAGGAUGAUCAGCCACAUUGGGACUGAGACACGGCCCAAACUCCUACGGGAGGCAGCAGUGGGGAAUCUUGCGCAAUGGGCGAAAGCCUGACGCAGCCAUGCCGCGUGAAUGAUGAAGGUCUUAGGAUUGUAAAAUUCUUUCACCGGGGACGAUAAUGACGGGACCCGGAGAAGAAGCCCCGGCGAACUUCGU
rnacentral:rRNA from 1 species